GAUGAACGCUAGCGGCAGGCUUAAUACAUGCAAGUCGAGGGGCAUCAAGGUACACGAAAGUGUAUUGUUGGCGACCGGCGGACGGGUGAGUAAUAGGUAGGUAACCUACCUCAUACUGAGGCAUAGCUGGGAGAAAUUCCAGGUAAUUCCUCAUGAGGUUAUAUGACACAUGUGAUAUAAUCAAAGGUAUCGCAAGGUACUGGUAUGAGAUGGGCUUACUGACCAUUAGCUAGUUGGUGAGAUAAGAGCUCACCAAGGCGAAGAUGGUUAGGGGUUUUGAGAGAGAGAUCCCCCACAUUGGAACUGAGAUACGGUCCAGACUCCUACGGGAGGCAGCAGUAGGGAAUAUUGGUCAAUGGGCGCGAGCCUGAACCAGCCAUCCCGCGUGCAGGAAGACGGCCCUAUGGGUUGUAAACUGCUUUUGUGCAGGAAGAAUGUGCCCAUCGUGAUGGGUAGUGACGGUGCUGCAUGAAU
rnacentral:rRNA from 1 species